rnacentral:rRNA from 1 species
UACGGGGGGGCAAGCGUUGUUCGGAAUUACUGGGCGUAAAGGGCGUGUAGGUGGCCAACUAAGUCCGACGUGAAAUCCCCAGGCUUAACCUGGGAACUGCGUCGGAUACUGGAUGGCUUGAAUUCGGGAGAGGGAUGCAGAAUUCCAGGUGUAGCGGUGAAAUGCGCAGAUAUCAGGAGGAACACCGGUGGCGAAGGCGGGUCUCUGGGCCGUAACUGACGCUGAGGAGCGAAAGCAUGGGGAGCGAACAGG